UACGGGGGGGGCAAGCGUUGUCCGGAUUUAUUGGGUUUAAAGGGUGCGUAGGCGGCCUUUUAAGUCAGUGCUGAAAUACUCUAGCUUAACUAGAGGGGUGGCAUUGAUACUGAAAGGCUUGAGUGAAGUCGAAGUAGGCGGAAUUGACGGUGUAGCGGUGAAAUGCUUAGAUAUCGUCAAGAACACCGAUAGUGAAGACAGCUUACUAGACUUCAACUGACGCUGAGGCACGAAAGUGUGGGGAUCAAACAGG
rnacentral:rRNA from 1 species